CACAGAAAAGUAAGAACUUGCAGAAAGAUAAAGAACACAAGAGAUUUAACGAGUUCACGACCCAUUAACCAUGGUCGCUACGUCUCGCCGAGGCUAUCCCCGGAAUCCACUAGUUUUCAGUUUGGUGUUUACAACAAGAACAUACAAGUGACAGCCUAAUGCCCUUCACUAGCACUUAAGCUCACUUCGUAGUGUUCUUGAAUAAGAGACAACAAUGAUCUUAAGCUUAUGCUAAACAAAGUUUCUCUCUUUCUCACCUCUCAGAAAACUCUCACACUCCAUCUCUCAACUCUCUGCAUAAUGUUCCUCUUUUAUAGUGGAGACACUAAACCCUUGUGCGGCAACCCUAAUGCAGCUGGCACCAUCUUCAUUCAAACUUGAUUAUGGAUCUACAGCCACACAUCUUGAACCUGAUUACAAGACACACCAACGUUCCUUUUGCCAAAACCUGCAACUCUGCUUUUUUUGUCUUGUUGCAGUUUCUGAUUUUGGUCUGUGGUCCCAAAAGCUUAACUUAACUCUAGUUUGAUUUAUGUCACCUGAGUUACUCCUUGAGUUGUCUUUAUUGUCACCAAUGAGGCUUGUUCAUCACGUCUCAUCUUCACAAAUCUCCACCUGAGACAAAGAUGAUCAAGCCAAUCAGCCACACUUAACUUAGAGAGAGAGAUAUAGUACCUUGAACUAGUAUCUGGAUUCCAGCCUCGGAUCCCUGAGUAGAUUACUCAGACUUGACCUGUAACAAGUUCAAUGCAGUUUGAAACUUGUUAACAGGUAACACCUUUGUGAAAAUAUCAGCAGGAUUCUUCUCUGUUGAAAUUUUCAGAACUUCCACAUCACCAUUAGCAAUCACAUCUCUGAUGAAGUGGUGUUUCACAUCAAUGUGCUUUGUUCUUUCAUGAUGCACAUUGUUCUUUGAGAGUGCAAUGGCACUCUGAGAAUCGCAGAAGAUCUCGACAGUCUUCUGUUCAUAGCCAAACUCCCUAAGAAUUCCCUUCAACCACACAGCCUCUUUUACUGCUUCAGUCAAUGCCAUAUACUCAGACUCCGUAGUUGAUAUUGAUACAACUCUUUGCAGACCAGAUUUCCAACUUAGUGUGUUUCCUCCAAGAGUAAACACCAAACCUGUGGUAGAUCUUCUACUAUCUCUAUCACCUCCAUAAUCUGCAUCACAGUAACCCACCAGCUUAAAUUCAGAACUCUUCUUGUAGCACAACUUUGUUGAUAGUGUGCCUUUGAUGUACUUCAACACCCACUUGACUCCAUGCCAGUGAUCUCUCACAGGCUGGCUCAUGAAUCUGCUUAUGAUUCCUACAGGAAAGGCCAAAUCUAAUCGUGUACCAACCAUAGCAUACAUAAUGCUCCCCACAGCGUUGCAGUAAGGAACUGUCUUCAUGUAAUCUUCAUCCCUGGCCACUUUUUCUGGUGUAGCAGCACUCAGUUUUAACUCUGCUCCUAGUGGAGUUGCUGCAGGCUUUGUGUUCUGCAUAUUGUAAGUCUCAAGAACUUUGUUCAGAUAACCUUCUUGAGACAGUCUCAAGACCCCCAACUUUCUGUCUCUGAUGAUCUCAAUGCCUAGGAUCCUUUUUGCAGGUCCAAGAUCCUUCAUUUCAAACUUUAAGCUGAGCUCCUCCUUUAGCUUAGCAAUUGCUUCUUUGUCUUUGGAGGCAACCAGCAUGUCAUCUACAUAGAGAAGUAGAUACAUGAUAGAAUCUUCACCAAGCUUCUUUGUGUAAGCACAAUAGUCAUAUUGACUUCUGACAAAACCGAUUUCAGACAUGUACUUGUCAAAUUUCUCAUUCCACUGCCUUGGUGCCUGUUUCAACCCGUACAGAGCUUUGUUCAAAAGACAUACUUGAUUGUCUUUGAACAUGCAUUCAUAUCCCUCAGGAGGAGUCAUGUAGAUCUUUUCCUUUAACUCUCCAUUAAGGAAAGCUGUCUUGACGUCUAACUGCUCCAGCUCUAAGUCUUAUUGAGCAACAAUAGCAAGCAGAAUCCUUAUGGAUACGUGUUUUACUACAGGAGCAAAGAUCUCAUGAUAAUCGAUUCCUUCUCUCUGAGCAUACCCUUUGGCAACAAGUCUAGCUUUGUAACGAGGUUCUUCCACGCCUGGUAUCCCAAGUUUAUACUUGUAGAUCCACUUACACCCUAUUACUCUUUGAUUUUCAGGUCUUUCCACUGUAGUCCAGGUGUUAUUCUUCAUCUGAGAAUCGAUUUCCUCAUCCAUAGCUAGCUUCCAUUUCAGCCAAUUAACAUCUCUUUUAGCAUCUCUGUAAUCUUCAGGUUCUAGAGUAUCUCCAUCUUCUGUAGUGCAUAAAGCUUCUAGAUAAUAAUCUUCAUCAUCAAAUCUGACAGGUGGUCUGAUUUGUCUUCUUUCUCUGUCUCUAACCAGAUGAUAGCUUCUAGGAGAUUGAUUUACAUCAAUUCCUGCAUCAUCAUUAACCUGUGUUGGAGAUUGCAGGUUUGGUGAACUUGAUCUUGGUGAGUGAUGUUCAGCUUCAUGAUCUCCACCUGAGAUAGUAUCUCUUUCUGCAUCAAGAUCCAAUUCAACAUAUGAUCUAGAUAGAUCAUCUUCUUCCACAGCAAUGCUUUCAUUUCCCUUUAGCAAAUCUUUAUAGACUGCAUUUUCUUGAAAGAUAACAUUUCUGCUGACUGCAAAUUUCUUUUCAUCUAUCAACCAAACCUUGUAACCUUUCACUCCAACCGGAUAACCAACAAGUAUACCCUUCUUAGCUCUCGGAUUUAGCUUCCCAUCAUCACUGUGAACGAAAGUAACACAACCAAAUCUUCUUAGGUAGCUGUAAACCGGAGCCUUUCCAGACCAUUUUUUGUCUGGGAUAUCAAAAUUCAGUGCUGAUGAUGGCGUUUUGUUGAUUAGAAUAACUGCAGUGUGAGUGGCUUCAGCCCAAAAUCUCUUUGGUAACCCUGAAUCACUCAACAUACUUCUGACCUUUUCCAUGAUGGUUCUGUUCAUACGUUCUGCAACUCCGUUUUGUUGCGGAGUGUAAGCACAUGUUCUGUGCCUCAGAAUCCCUUUUGCUUCACAGAAACCAUCAAACUGUUUGUUGCAGUAUUCAAGUCCAUUGUCAGUUCUGAGAGUCUUCAACUUCAGCUCAGUUUGAUUCUCCACCAUAUUAACCCACUCAACAAACUUAUCAAACGCUUCAUCUUUAAAUUUCAGAAAGUAUACCCACACUUUUCUCGAGUAAUCAUCAAUGAAUGAUAUGAAGUACUGGCACUUACCAAGUGAGAAUGGAACAGAUGGUGCUCCCCAUAAGUCUGAAUGCACAUACUCAAGCUUUUCCUUUGUGUUGUGCUGAGCUAUGUUAAAACCCACUCUUUUAGAUCUUCCAUAUAUGCAGUCUUCACACAAAUCAAAGGUUGUCACUUUCUUCUUGUCUAGAAGCCCUUUGUUGAGCAGCACAUUCAUGUUUUUCUGACUCAUGUGACCCAAUCUUCUGUGCCAGAGCACUGUAUCAUCUUCUCUCUUUUCAGUAGCAUGUGAUUCUUCUAUCACAGCUUUUCCUUGAAGUAGAUAUAGUGUCUCAUGUCUUCUUCCUUGUAGAAGAGUCUGUCCUCCAACCUUGAUACUUAGAAUACCAUUCUCUGAUUCAAAUCUGUAACCGGAUUUCUCAAAAGUGCCAAGAGAUAACAAAUUUCUGUCCAUCUCAGGAAUGUAUUUCACAUUUGUGAGCACUACAUUCAAACCGUCUUCAUUCUUGAUGCGAAUACUCCCUACUCCUUUGACCUUAGAGACUGUUUUAUUUCCCAUUCUGACUGCACCUCCAGCUUCUUCAUUUAAAUGCUCAAACCAGUCUCUUCUGUAGGUCAUGUGACAGCUACAGCCAGUAUCCAUGAUCCACUCAUUCUCCAGAUUUACUUCUGUUGAAUGUAGAGCUUCUGUCACAUACAACCCAGUAGCUUCCACUAGGUUCGCUUUUGCUGUAGAAGCUUCAGCCUUGUUGUUUCCUUGAUCUUUGGGUCUUGUCUGAGCUUUGUUCUUGUUUGGGCAGGAACUCUUAAAGUGACCUUCUUCUCCACAGAUCCAACACCCUCGUUUACUCUUAGAUUUGGAUCUUGCUCUGUUACCCUUGCCUUUUUCUCUCUGCUCAUAUCUUCCCCUGUUCUCUGCCUUAUCUUUGACAUACAACCCUUCUGCUUGAGUUUUAGGGCUCUUUCUACUUAAACCCAGCUCUAGUUCUUUAGCAUGAAUGACUGAAAUGAUUUCAUCUAGAGACAAAGUAGUUCUAGCUGUCCCAUAUCUCAGUGUAUCUCUUAACUGGUCAAACUGUCUAGGCAAAGACAUCAACAACAGUAUGGCUUGAUCUUCAUCAGCUAUACUAACAUUAGUGUUCUCCAGAUCAGCUAUUAAACGUAGAAAGUCAUCAAUAUUACCUUCAAUAGACUGAUUUUCGUUCAUCUUGAAGCUGUAAAGCUUUUGUUUCAGAUAUAUCCUGUUUGGCAGAGCCUUAGACAUGUACAGCUUGUCCAAAGCAGUGAACAUUGAAGCUGCAGUCUUCUCCUUGAUAAUCUUUCUAAGGACCUGGUUUGAAACACUCAAGAUGAUAGUGCUUCUUGCUUUCUUCAUCUUUUCUUCAGAGAUUUCUUCUGCUACCUUCUUGUCUUUCCCUUCUUCUGUCUUCUCUGAAUCUGAGACCUUUUCUUCUGAAAUCUUAGUCUCUCUUAAAGCUUCACUCAGACCUAAUAUCUCCAGAUGAGCAAUGAGUUUCUCCUUCCACAAUGUGUAGUCUCCACGCCCAUCAAAUUUCUCAACCUCUAUUCUUGCUGAUGCCAUGAUUCUUGACUGGAGAGAUCUUUACAGAACCACAACCAAGUAACCAAGGCUCUGAUACCACUCUGUUAAGGUUUACAAAGUCAAAGGUGUAGACUUUCCUCUGUUGCAAACCAGAAAACCAAGAAAGAAGCUUGUGUGUUUGUGAAACAGAGCAGUGAAGCACAAAACAGAGAGCAAUAAACACAGAAAAGUAAGAACUUGCAGAAAGAUAAAGAACACAAGAGAUUUAACGAGUUCACGACCCAUUAACCAUGGUCGCUACGUCUCGCCGAGGCUAUCCCCGGAAUCCACUAGUUUUCAGUUUGGUGUUUACAACAAGAACAUACAAGUGACAGCCUAAUGCCCUUCACUAGCACUUAAGCUCACUUCGUAGUGUUCUUGAAUAAGAGACAACAAUGAUCUUAAGCUUAUGCUAAACAAAGUUUCUCUCUUUCUCACCUCUCAGAAAACUCUCACACUCCAUCUCUCAACUCUCUGCAUAAUGUUCCUCUUUUAUAGUGGAGACACUAAACCCUUGUGCGGCAACCCUAAUGCAGCUGGCACCAUCUUCAUUCAAACUUGAUUAUGGAUCUACAGCCACACAUCUUGAACCUGAUUACAAGACACACCAACGUUCCUUUUGCCAAAACCUGCAACUCUGCUUUUUUUGUCUUGUUGCAGUUUCUGAUUUUGGUCUGUGGUCCCAAAAGCUUAACUUAACUCUAGUUUGAUUUAUGUCACCUGAGUUACUCCUUGAGUUGUCUUUAUUGUCACCAAUGAGGCUUGUUCAUCACGUCUCAUCUUCACA
rnacentral:lncRNA from 1 species